GACGAACGCUGGCGGCGUGCUUAACACAUGCAAGUCGAACGCUGAAGCUCAGCUUUUGUUGGGUGGAUGAGUGGCGAACGGGUGAGUAACACGUGAGUAACCUGCCCCCUUCUUUGGGAUAACGCCCGGAAACGGGUGCUAAUACUGGAUAUUCACUGGUCUUCGCAUGGGGGUUGGUGGAAAGGGUUUUUCUGGUGGGGGAUGGGCUCGCGGCCUAUCAGCUUGUUGGUGGGGUGAUGGCCUACCAAGGCUUUGACGGGUAGCCGGCCUGAGAGGGUGACCGGUCACAUUGGGACUGAGAUACGGCCCAGACUCCUACGGGAGGCAGCAGUGGGGACUAUUGCACAAUGGGCGCAAGCCUGAUGCAGCGACGCCGCGUGAGGGAUGGAGGCCGUCGGGUUGUGAACCUCUUUCGCUCAUGGUCAAGCCGCAACAAUGGUUGUGGUGAGGGUAGUGGGUAAAGAAGCGCCGGCUAACUACGUG
rnacentral:rRNA from 1 species